rnacentral:rRNA from 1 species
GAUGAACGCUGGCGGCGUGCCUAAUACAUGCAAGUCGAGCGAACAGACGAGGAGCUUGCUCCUCUGACGUUAGCGGCGGACGGGUGAGUAACACGUGGAUAACCUACCUAUAAGACUGGGAUAACUUCGGGAAACCGGAGCUAAUGCCGGAUAAUAUAUUGAACCGCAUGGUUCAAUAGUGAGAGACGGUUUUGCUGUCACUUAUAGAUGGAUCCGCGCCGCAUUAGCUAGUUGGUAAGGUAACGGCUUACCAAGGCAACGAUGCGUAGCCGACCUGAGAGGGUGAUCGGCCACACUGGAACUGAGACACGGUCCAGACUCCUACGGGAGGCAGCAGUAGGGAAUCUUCCGCAAUGGGCGAAAGCUUGACGGAGCAACGCCGCGUGAGUGAUGAAGGUCUUCGGAUCGUAAAACUCUGUUAUUAGGGAAGAACAAAUGUGUAAGUAACUAUGCACGUCUUGACGGUACCUAAUCAGAAAGCCACGGCUAACUACGUG